AUUAUGUUAUUUGUUAUUCAGUUAUAUUUUAUUUGGAAAAAAUGCAGAAAUAAAAUCAAAUCAAAAUCAAAUAAUAGUAGGUGUAGGUGAACUAUAGUAGGUGUAGGCGUAGGUGAACUAGUAGGUGAAGGCGUAGGUGAACUAUAGUAGGUGUAGGUGUAGGUGAACUAGUAGUAGGUGAAGGCGUAGGUGUAGGCGAACUAGCAUUCCCGAUAAUCACUUGAUGUUGCUUAAUUCCUGCUUCAGCAUGUUUAUCCCACCGCUGCCACCAAUGUAACGGGUUUUGUCCGGGGUCCCUGCACCAUUACCGAGCGGUCAAUAAAUCUCACGAGACUCCAAUCACCCGCACGGUUCUUUCAUAAACAGUGAAGCUAUCACUCCAACAUCAUCGAUCGCACUCAGAUCACGCUACUUUUCUAUAAUACACGGAAACACAGUGUCAUUUUACAUCAAAAGGUACUUGCCUUUAUUCACGAAGAACUCCAACUUUACAAUGUAACUUCCCUUCAACAGCUAGUAGCAGUACUCCGAUUCACCCUGUUUCACCUAUCUUAUCCUGCCCUCCCUAGCUACCUGCCCGAACACGUCCUC